rnacentral:rRNA from 1 species
GAUGAACGCUGGCGGCGUGCCUAAUACAUGCAAGUCGAGCGAACAGAUGAGGAGCUUGCUCCUCUGACGUUAGCGGCGGACGGGUGAGUAACACGUGGAUAACCUACCUAUAAGACUGGGAUAACUUCGGGAAACCGGAGCUAAUACCGGAUAAUAUAUUGAACCGCAUGGUUCAAUAGUGAAAGACGGUUUUGCUGUCACUUAUAGAUGGAUCCGCGCCGCAUUAGAUAGUUGGUAAGGUAACGGCUUACCAAGGCAACGAUGCGUAGCCGACCUGAGAGGGGGAUAGGCGACACUGGAACGGGGACAGGGUCAAGACUACUACGGGAGGCAGCAGUAGGGAAUGUGCCGCAAUGGGCGAAAGCCUGGCGGAGCAAGGCCGAGUGAGUGAUGAAGGUCUUCGGAUCGUAAAAAUCUGUUAUUAGGGAAGAACAAAUGUGUAAGUAACUAUGCACGGAUUGACGGUACCUAAUCAGAAAGCCACGGCUAACUACGUG